UUUGGUUGGUUGUUUUUUUGUGAUAAUUAUUUAUGGAAAACACCAAGAAUUACAGACUUCUAUGUUCAAGUCCUGUGCAGGAGUAACGGAAUUCUUAGAGAUCGGCCAAAAAGGAGAAUCAUGAAGUCUCCUUAGAAUAUUUAAGUGAUUGAUAGUGAUUUAGUCAGUUGAUUAAAUUUUGUCAAAUGGAGGAUAAAUAACCUUCAAGGAGUUGGCUUUGCCAUGAUCUGCACUGCAAGUGGCCCAGUCCAGUGAGGGCUCUGACAGGUUCUUCUGGGCAUGGUGAGCCCAACACUUCCUUGCAGUGACUCCUCAGCUGAACUUAGCAUGUCUAGAGGCAGACUGAGAGCAUUUGCAUGUCUGGUACUGGGCUGAGUGUGUUUAUCUGAGGUUGACACGAUCACUGUUAAUAAUCCUGCUCUAAUUGAAACUUGCCUUUGACAUCACCUCCUGCCUGACUGAUUGGAUUGUGUCUCCUUAUUCUCCCUCAGUAUUUAUUCCUGUCUCCCUGAUCAGCCUGAAAGGCAAACCCCCAGCAGCAUGACACUAAAACCAAGCUGACCUGUCACACAAACCAAGGCACAGGUUCAGUUUUUACCCAGGAGCCCUUCCUGAAGGAGUUGGCUGAGCCAGGUGGGACCUCAAGCUCAGGUGCGUGGUGGAGUUCUGGGGCUUCUGCUGUCACCCACAACUUUGGGAGUCAGUUUUUUUUUUUGCUCUUGCUUUGCUUAUACCACAACUGUUCCCAUCGAGACAAUAUGAGAUUUUACAGGCUUCCAAAUUUGAGCAUUAGCAUUAUAUUCUCUCAGGAUGUGUAAAUGAACGUGUGAAUUGUGGAAUAUUUAAAUUGUGUUCUCGGGGUAGUUUAGAACGUGGAACCCACCCUUCAUAAUGCUAUUUAUAAACUUGGGGAGAGCAGUGAGUGUCUCAGUUAAAACAGCCAGCUGACUCUGUGGCUCACAACACAUAAAGCACUUUCCUCAUAAUGUUUGCAUUUGUGGGAAUAUUUCUUUUUCCUGUCCUUUGUCAUGCACUGAAUUUGAAUGACUGAUCUCUUGCACGAUAACUGAUGUGCCUGUGAUACAGCUGGCAGGCAACCUAAGACAUUCUUUAAUUUUUAAAUAAAUAUGUUAAAAUAACAGUGAUUGGAACCGUAGCUAUAUUAAACUAAGUAUAAAUAACCUGAAUUACAUAAAGACGGCUUCAUAACUUAAAUUCACCUAUGGAUUUUGUAUCACUUAAUGCAUUAUUUUAAAAACAUUUCUAGGGAGAACAUACUAGCUGACUCCCAUGGCUUUUCUUGGAGGGACUGAGGAACUUUUUGCCCCUUAAGUCACCUGUAUUUCUUAAAAGUGUAAAGAGCAACAGGACAUCAUGUUUUUCUAUAUAGAGACAGGCUACUGAAUAAUAAAACAUCUUCAGCACUGAGAUUAUUUUUUCCACUACAAGAAACAUGUAAUAUUUCCACUAAAUGCCUACAUAGUCACAGCUGGUGUAAAUCAGCAGAUUCCCAUCGACUCCUUACUGGAUGCAGUGCAGUUUUAGGAAGUGCCUGGCAUUGUUAUCAAAAGGGUAAACAAGAGAUCAGCCAGAAACCUCAGACACAACUAACACUGUAAAUUCAGGACACAGUGCAGAAAUUUUGUGUGAAUUUAUCUGAAACAGCUAAAAUGUGGUUUGCUUUUUUUCUUACUCCAGAAAUGGUAUAGCCAUGCCAUAUGCAUUAGAGUAGAAAAAACAUAUAAUUUAAGAAGUAUAUAUUGCUUAACACGAGUGCUAUUCCAAACAUGCAGCAUAAAUCCUGCUCCUCGUUUUAGCAGCUGUAGCAAUCCCAGUUCCCUCAGGAGCAGUGGAAGUCUUGGCUCACCCUCCCCUGUCCUGCACCUCCACUCCCACCCCUGGAGUGGGGUGAAAAGAUUUAGGAGAGAUUUACUGUGGCAAGGAGCCUGAGCCUAUCUAUUUAAUUCCAGAGCUGCUUUCCCUCUGCAGAAGGAAAGCUCACAGCCUUUCUUUGCACACCCUUUGUGGUGUAAAGCUUUCCUUGAUUAAAGCACUGUAUUAAUUAACUUUUGUGCUCAUGUUGUUGACUGGCUACGGUGAUGGUCCUUCUGCUUCAUCUGCUGCUGUCCAUGCUGGAAUCUCCAGGGCUUUCCAUCAUGGGAAACAUUUGGGUGCUGUUAGAUUUAUAUCUGAGUGGGGCUCAGGUUGAGAUUUUUCAUGUUGUUCAGGGAAGGAGGAUGCCAAAUUCCCAUCAGGCUGAUGAGACUGUAACCUUUCUUCUUCAAAAAGGGCUCUUAUGUCUCAGCUGAAGGAUUUCACUCACACUAGGUAAAAACUUUACAGGUCAGAGAAUGUUUUCAUGCCUGCAGUCACAGGUGAACAGAAUAAAAAUAGGUGAUAACAUUCCUUUCUUUAUCAUCAGACUGAUUGGCUUGACUUUGCAACUUUUGAGAAGGUCUGAUGGAUUCCUUUGGCUGCUGCAAUGCCCUUCUCAGGACCAGCUGCCCUUCUACACAUCAAAAUCUACCAAAAAAAGGUUCUUAGGCUGUAUCCUGUACGUAAUGUUGAUUUCUGUCUCCCAAACAAGAUUAUUACUUGGCUGCAAAAUCCCUUCCACCUAUAAUAUUCUGUGUAAAAAAACCAGCUGGGCUUACAUGUGUGCUCUCUUGUUUGAGUGAAAAAGGAUAAAGGUGGCUUGUCCAACUUUAUUUCCUUUAAAAUUAUUUAUUUCCUCUCCCUUUCAUGUUUUUGUGCAGUUUUUGCAAUCCCUGGAGACUCUGUAUCUAACUGCAUCAGGCAGAAAGUAUCUCCCCUUCAUCCCUGAAGCUCAGCAACAAUGUUGUUCCAAGCACCUGGAAGGAACAAGAGCUCACAAUGCCUGUGGUACUCCCCCCUGGAAUCUGAAGGGAAGGAUCAUACUGACAAUUGUGAUUUAAAAAAAAAAAUUAUAAAAAUAAGCGGACAAAGCCCAAAAAAGGAGGCACGGAAGACAUUUCCAAACAAUGUAAAAACCAAGCUUUUCCUUUUGAAUGUGACAAUUUAGUCCUCAAAGGACUCUCAUCUGUGCACUUGGGACUGUGUUCCUGAGACAACUCCUUGGAAGCAGCCGCAGAAUCAGAGGUUUUGAGUUUGGGGUGUCCUGUUUGAUGCAAAUGUCUUGGGUUGUCAGAUGACACAUUGACUUCUUUGCUAAAACCUCCCCAAAACAGCUAUUUCAAAUUGAGAACUCUUAAUAAACACCUUGCCUGAAAAUACUGACUUACUGAUAGAAUUGUCCCUUGCAGGACAAAUAUUCCUUAUUCCAACCUGCCCUAUUCCACUCAGUUUUCCUCACACUGGAAAUAGGACCAAUGUUUCCCAGCAGAUAAUCCUGACAAGCUCAGAGGGUGACCUUCCACAGGGCCUGGCCCUGGCCCACUUUGCUGAGGCACCAUCACAAAAUCCCUUGCCAUUGCCCACCUGCUGUAAAUGACACCAAAGGUAGAGCUGAGACAACAGUUUACUACAAAAUGUGAUUGCAGGCCCAUUUUUCUUCAUUAAUCUAAUGUUAAACAUAACCUAUUACAGGGUAUUUAAGGAACAGAUGGUAAAUACAAGUUAAUGCAGAUACAGAUUAAAAAAUAUUGGCAACAUCUAAUGCUUUUACACAAAGCACAAAGCUAAUAAGUGUGAAUCUAUGCUUAAUCAUGGAAAAUUAAAUCCUUUGAUAGAUUUGUUUUUAAAUUUCUUCAGUCACAAAGUAUUUCAGUGAAGUUACAGGGUAAAGGGCACCCAAGACCUCUGCUUAUAAAAUUUCAAGAUCCACUCUAUUAAGUAUUUUGAUGAUUUCAUUGCAUUUAUAUUUUUCCUGAGCUACAGUAUCAGACAAAUGCAUUGCUUGAGCAGGGGAGCUAAGAGCUGGAUCGCAAGAAUGGAAGCUGAGGUGCCUGGGCUUUUCCAGAGGGAGGAAGUGCUGGUUCAAGAAUAGCACAGCAAUUGUUUGCCUAAGAAACACCCCAAAGGAUUCAGCUUCCACACGAUAAAAGUGCAAACUGUGCUGUGUGAAGCAAGGUAUUCCCCACACUGCAGCUGCACAUCUGGACACAGCCUGCAUCAAAAUCCUUUCUCCUUCACCCUGCUGAUCCUGCUGAAUGGCCAUUUCCAUGGCACUCACAGCCUCCUCCCAGGGAAGAACAACCAAAGCUCCUUUGCCCUCCUGGUUGCUGCUUCCUGUGCAGGUGGAUGGGGCUGGUGAGGAUCCAGUCCCUGGGCAGACAGUUUAGGAUCACCCUGUGAGUGAAUUUCUAGGAAAGGGGCAAAACAAAAGUGGCCAAACCCUGCCCUUGUGUUGGCUGGGAUAGAGGUAAAUUUCUUCACCCCAUUCCCCACUUUGUUGUUUGGUAAGAAAGUGGCAGAAAUGCUCCUUUUAAAAAUUUGAUUUUUUUUUUAAUGUUAAAACAAUAUCUAAGGGAAUCUCCACAUUUAAUUAAAAAAUAAGACAGACUCAGCUGACUCUGCAGGACCCUGCUUGCUUCUGGCUGUAGCCAAGUGAGGGAAACAGAGGGAUGCAGGAUGUGUGUCUACAAAAUCAUCUGCUGCACAACUGGAUCUUCCCAAGCUCUUCUGGAGAGCCAGGAUCUCAAGCUCCUUGAAAACACCACAAAUGCAAGUCAAAGAGCUGCAGUGACUCAAACAGAAAGAUUCUAUUUUCACUCUUUUUCUCCUUUAAUCUGCUCUCCUCAUUUUCUCUUUGCUGUCUCAUCUCCCUGUCUUUGUGUGUGUUUUGAGGUAUGCAGAUUUAUAUAACUAUUUAUACUUAAUCAAACAAAACCUCUUGCUUUGAAAACAAUAAUUAUUCAAACAUCUCAGGAAGAAAAGACAAUGAGUGGAUGUUGUUCACUGAAGCAAAAUAAAGCAAGACAAAGAAAGUUUAGAUUUAUUACAAAGCAGAAACCCAGUGCUUGCAAAACAAUUUGCUUUAAGUGCAGUAAUAAUUCCUUGAGGCAGAUUAUAUGAGGCUCUUGCACAUGAGUUACAUUUCAAUAGUGAGAUCCAGCUCAAUCUAGCAAAGAGAUACAGCUCCAAAAUUUAGAGCAAGGAGGCUUUGGCUUGAAAAUGUGCUUUUCAGAAUCACUGCAGGAUCUACAAGGAUUGCUCUGCAACGUUUCAAGCAUCCAAGGUCAUGGAUUUUUUGGUUGUUUAUUUUCUCAACUUAGUGAUGAGAUGCCACAGUUCCAGUGUAAUGGCAUUAUAUAGAUAUUAUUCCAUUAGAGGAAUGGAAUCAUGUAGAUAUUAUUUUCCAUAAUACCUACAAACUUGCUGGUUUGUUGAUUCAGGGAAUUAAUUCAUCCCAAGAAAAAGUACUUGGAGUUCAGCUAGGCUGGCUUGCUGGCCCCUGUUGCCCAAGAGGCAUUUAAGGAUGGAGGUGCUGGUGGUGAUGGGAAGGGAGGGAGGGUGGGACAGUGGUGCCACCUCUGUGGAGAACAACACACUCUGGUGCCCAAUUCCUGCUCACACUGACUCACUGUGGAGCUCUUGUGAGGUAAGAAUCCAACUCAAAGCAUUUUCCUGUCCCCCACCCUGUUUUUCCUCUCCCCUGUUCCUUCUCCAGUUUGUGAAAGCCUGGAUUGAAAUGACUUCGAAUCCAUUUUACUUAGGUGGGUUCUCUUAUACAUAUAUAACAUUGCACUGUUACAAAUAAUAAAUUCUUUCCCUUCCUUAGCAGCCUCCAGCACAUAUAAUUUUGGCAAGCAGCUUGAAUAAACAUGUCUCUUCCCAUCAGGGCUGCAUAAACAUAUUGGGUGCUGCCUGAUCCAAGACACCUUUACUCUUUCCUAGGCAUUUGUGCAGUCUGCUGCAGGAUGCUUUGGAAAAAGUGGAGUUUCCAGCAUGACUGAAAGCUCUCCCUCCAGAUACUCAAUGUACCAAUGAUUUUUCUUGCACAAUCUCCCUCGCUCACUCUCUCCCAUGCUCCACUUGGAAAGCAAACCUAUCAGCAUUUAUUUUAUGUGAGCUGCACUUCAGAAUGAGGUAGGACUGCCAUUCUUCUUUAUUUUUUUCAGUCUCAUCUCAGUUUUUUGUGCUCUUGGAAGGCUCUUUGUCUCAUUUUCCCACUUGGCAUUGACUCAGUAAUUGAUUUUGUUUUAGUUGUCUCCAAGGCUACAGCACUAAAAAGCCCCAGAGGAAUUGGGCACUUGACUGGAAAGACACCAGCGAUGUGGAGACCCUGCUUCUCCUUUUCGGUCAGCAGAAAUCAGAAAUUCUGGGAUUUCCAAAGGAAAAAAUGCAGGCACCAGCUGCCCAUGAGGUAUCUGUCAUCCCUUCAUCCCUUUGCAAACUUCAGCAUGUGCAUCCAUCUCCUGCAGAUCCUGCCAGAAGUCCUUCAGGGCCUGUUGUAAAGGUUUAAAGACAGCCCACGGUAGAGCUCUGGCUCCAAGCCAUGGGUGGUGCUGUGCUCCUGGGCUGGGGGAACAGGGAGCCUUGGACCUUGGCAAACUCUGCUCACAACCAUCAGCAGGAAUGUGCACUGCUGCUCUGGAAAACACUCUCAAAUGGAAG